rnacentral:snRNA from 2 species
AUCGCUUCUCGGCCUUUUGGCUAAGAUCAAAGUGUAGUAUCUGUUCUUAUCAGCUUAAUAUCUGAUACGGGUUCAAAUGAACCCCAGAAUAUUAAACUGAUUUUUGGAAUUCGGUGGGAUAUCAAUGCUUGCAUUGAUCCUGCCACGGGUUGACCCGGUAUUGCAGUACCUCCGGGCUCGGCUCACCCCUU